rnacentral:lncRNA from 10 species
ACUUGAAUUGCUGGAAGAGCUCUAAUAGAUCAAUUAAACAAUAAUGAACACCUCAAUGACAAAAAGCACCAAAAUAGAAUUGAAAUUUAACAAAGAGUGAUUUUUCUUUUUAAGCAGUAUUUUCUAGUACACUUUAAUUGAGGAAAAGUGCACAAAUCAUAAGUAUACAACUGCAGAAACUUUCACAAACUAAGCAAAUACAGCAUGUAGCCAGAACCUAGAUCAAGAAACAGAACAUCACCUGCACUCAAGAAGCACUCCAAAAAGUCAUUAUUUUUAAAAUUAACUCUGUAUUUAUCUUAAACUUUUUCUAAAUAGCAGUUGAUGUAGAGCAACAAACCACAGAGCGGAGGAAUCUUCAGUAAUAAGGGGAAGAAGUAUUAAGAAAGUCAUCCUGCAAUCCUGUAAUGGGAAUUAGUCACCCGCUUCAUCUCAUGAAAUUCAUACUGAAAAGUUCUUUCCUAAUAAUACAAUGUGAGACAGGCAGAUGGUAAAAAUAGAUACAUUUUCCUGCAUAGGUUUCAGAGUUAGAAAGUUCACAGGAGUUGCUAAAAAGAAAAGAACCCUGAGUUGACAAAAAAAAAAAAAAAAAAAAAAAAAAAAGCUUUUAAAAAGUCAAGUUGAAUAUACUAAGGUCAAAUGAUUUUUACUUUUAAAGUAAAAUAUUAUCUAGAAAGGCUGGUAAUGAUGAGCAUCUGAAUAAGAAGCUUUAGAUGCUGAGACUAAAAACAGAACAUGCAACACAGAAACUAUGGUUUUCUCAGAAGUUACAUAUGAAAAAAAAAUGAGCCAAAUUGG